GGGCCCAUGGUGUAGUUGGUUAUCACGCUCGCUUAGCACUUUUCUGAGAGAAAUUGAAGUCUUAUGCGAGAGGUGUUGGGUUCAAUUCCCAAUGAGUCCA